AUGCUAUUUUUCUUGCAUUUUAGUCUACUUGCUUUUUUACUUUACCCAUACUUUCCCAUUGCAUUGCCGGUUGUCGACGACGUGGUCAGGAAUUCACAUGGCUCAAACACUGAUAUUGCUGGUGUAGUCAUGUACGUGGGCCCAGUUGACCAUGAUACAUAUUCCCCUCUAUGGAUGAGCGAAGUAGCAUUGAUCGACGCUGGCAUGCAAAUUAUCUUCCUACACAUUUUUGAAGAACUAGCUGAACGCCAUUGGAAUGAACUUCUUUCUGAAGCAAAUGUUGGCUUAAUCAUGGCAACCUCGAUGAAGGUUGAUCAACUAUCCAAAACUCUUCUUAGCACGGAGGCAACAACUAUAUGCAUACAUUACUCCUCAAGUUGCCACAAUGUUCACUUUCUUAAAGGUGUUUGUAGGUGUGCAUCAUCAAGUUCGUGA
rnacentral:rRNA from 1 species